rnacentral:rRNA from 1 species
CGGAGGAAAAGAAACCAACCGGGAUUGCCUUAGUAACGGCGAGUGAAGCGGCAAAAGCUCAAAUUUGAAAUCUGGUACCUUCGGUGCCCGAGUUGUAAUUUGGAGAGGGCAACUUUGGGGCCGUUCCUUGUCUAUGUUCCUUGGAACAGGACGUCAUAGAGGGUGAGAAUCCCGUGUGGCGAGGAGUGCGGUUCUUUGUAAAGUGCCUUCGAAGAGUCGAGUUGUUUGGGAAUGCAGCUCUAAGUGGGUGGUAAAUUCCAUCUAAAGCUAAAUAUUGGCGAGAGACCGAUAGCGAACAAGUACAGUGAUGGAAAGAUGAAAAGAACUUUGAAAAGAGAGUGAAAAAGUACGUGAAAUUGUUGAAAGGGAAGGGCAUUUGAUCAGACAUGGUGUUUUGUGCCCUCUGCUCCUUGUGGGUAGGGGAAUCUCGCAUUUCACUGGGCCAGCAUCAGUUUUGGUGGCAGGAUAAAUCCAUAGGAAUGUAGCUUGCCUCGGUAAGUAUUAUAGCCUGUGGGAAUACUGCCAGCUGGGACUGAGGACUGCGACGUAAGUCAAGGAUGCUGCAACCC